rnacentral:rRNA from 1 species
CGGCAGGCUUACACAUGCAAGUCGAGCGGAGAGAGGUAGCUUGCUACUGAUCUUAGAGGCGGACGGGUGAAUACUGCUUAGGAAUCUACCUAUUAGUGGGGGACAACAUUUCGAAAGGAAUGCUAAUACCGCAUACGUCCUACGGGAGAAAGCAGGGGAUCUUCGGACCUUGCGCUAAUAGAUGAGCCUAAGUCGGAUUAGCUAGUUGGUGGGGUAAAGGCCUACCAAGGCGACGAUCUGUAGCGGGUCUGAGAGGAUGAUCCGCCACACUGGGACUGAGACACGGCCCAGACUCCUACGGGAGGCAGCAGUGGGGAAUAUUGGACAAUGGGCGCAAGCCUGAUCCAGCCAUGCCGCGUGUGUGAAGAAGGCCUUAUGGUUGUAAAGCACUUUAAGCGAGGAGGAGGCUACUUUAGUUAAUACCUAGAGAUAGUGGACGUUACUCGCAGAAUAAGCACCGGCUAACUCUGUGCCAGCAGCCGCGGUAAUACAGAGGGUGCAAGCGUUAAUCGGAUUUACUGGGCGUAAAGCGCGCGUAGGCGGCUAAUUAAGUCAAAUGUGAAAUCCCCGAGCUUAACUUGGGAAUUGCAUUCGAUACUGGUUAGCUAGAGUGUGGGAGAGGAUGGUAGAAUUCCAGGUGUAGCGGUGAAAUGCGUAGAGAUCUGGAGGAAUACCGAUGCCGAAGGCAGCCAUCUGGCCUAACACUGACGCUGAGGUGCG